rnacentral:rRNA from 1 species
GAUGAACGCUGGCGGCGUGCCUAACACAUGCAAGUCGAACGAGAAGUUAACCGCUGAUUCCUUCGGGAUGAGGAGGUUAGCAGAAAGUGGCGAACGGGUGAGUAACGCGUGGGUAAUCUACCCUGUAAGUGGGGGAUAACCCUCCGAAAGGAGGGCUAAUACCGCAUAAUAUCAUCACUUCUAAAAGAAGAGAAGAUUAAAGAUGGCCUCUGUCUUAAGCUAUCACUUCAGGAUGAGCCUGCGUCCUAUUAGUUAGUUGGUGGGGUAAUGGCCUACCAAGACCACAAUGGGUAGCCGGUCUGAGAGGAUGUACGGCCACACUGGGACUGAGAUACGGCCCAGACUCCUACGGGAGGCAGCAGUGGGGAAUAUUGCGCAAUGGGGGAAACCCUGACGCAGCGACGCCGCGUGGAUGAUGAAGGCCUUUGGGUUGUAAAAUCCUGUUUUGGGGGAAGAAACCUUAAGGGUCCAAUAAACCCUUGAAUUGACGGUACC